GCCAGGUGCAGUGGUGCGGGCCUGUAGUUUCAGCUACUCAAGAGGCUGAAGUAAGAGGAUCACUGGAGCCCAGGGGUUCUGGGCUGUACUGCGCUAUGCUGAUCAGGUGUCCGCACUAAGUUUGCCAUCAAUAUGAUGACUUCCCAGGUAGGAAAUGGAACAGGUGAAAACUCUCAUGCUGAUCAGUAGUGGAAUCAUACCUGUGAGUAACCACUGUACUCCAACCUGGGCAACAUAGCAAGACCCCAUCUCUA
rnacentral:SRP_RNA from 1 species